rnacentral:rRNA from 1 species
AAUGAACGCUGGCGGCAGGCCUAACACAUGCAAGUCGAGCGGAGCGGCGGACGGGUGAGUAAUGCCUAGGAAUCUGCCUGGCAGUGGGGGCUAACGUCAGGCAACGGGCGCUAAUAUCGCAUCCUACUAGCUGAGCCUAGGUCGGAUUAGCUAGUUGGUGGGGUAAAGGCCUACCAAGGCGACUAUCCGUAACUGGUCUGAGAGGCUGAUCAGUCACACUGGAACUGAGACACGGCCCAGACUCCUACGGGAGGCAGCAGUGGGGAAUAUUGCGCAAUGGGCGCAAGCCUGAUGCAGCCAUGCCGCGUGUAUGAUGAAGGCCUUAGGAUUGUAAAGUACUUUCAGCAGGGAGGCGGUACCCACAGAGGAAGCACCGGCUAACUCCGUGCCAGCCGCCGCGGUAAUAC